rnacentral:rRNA from 1 species
UACGAAGGGUGCAAGCGUUAAUCGGAAUUACUGGGCGUAAAGGGUGCGUAGGCGGUUGUUUAAGUCUGUCGUGAAAUCCCCGGGCUCAACCUGGGAAUGGCGAUGGAUACUGGGCAGCUAGAGUGUGUCAGAGGAUGGUGGAAUUCCCGGUGUAGCGGUGAAACGCGUAGAGAUCGGGAGGAACAUCAGUGGCGAAGGCGGCCAUCUGGGACAACACUGACGCUGAAGCACGAAAGCGUGGGGAGCAAACAGG